rnacentral:rRNA from 1 species
GGGGAAUUUUGGACAAUGCGCGCAAGCCUGAUCCAGCCAUGCCGCGUGUAUGAAGAAGGCCUUCGGGUUGUAAAGUACUUUUGUCAGGGAAGAAAAGCCUGAGGAUAACACCCUCAGGUCAUGACGGUACCUGAAGAAUAAGCACCGGCUAACUACGUGCCAGCAGCCGCGGUAAUACGUAGGGUGCGAGCGUUAAUCGGAAUUACUGGGCGUAAAGCGAGCGCAGACGGUUAUUUAAGCAAGAUGUGAAAGCCCCGGGCUCAACCUGGGAACUGCGUUUUGAACUGGGUAACUAGAGUGUGUCAGAGGGGGGUAGAAUUCCACGUGUAGCAGUGAAAUGCGUAGAGAUGUGGAGGAAUACCGAUGGCGAAGGCAGCCCCCUGGGAUAACACUGACGUUCAUGCUCGAAAGCGUGGGUAGCAAAC